GUAGGUGGCAAGCGUUAUCCGGAAUUAUUGGGCGUAAAGCGCGCGCAGGCGGUUUCUUAAGUCUGAUGUGAAAGCCCACGGCUCAACCGUGGAGGGUCAUUGGAAACUGGGGAACUUGAGUGCAGAAGAGAAAAGCGGAAUUCCACGUGUAGCGGUGAAAUGCGUAGAGAUGUGGAGGAACACCAGUGGCGAAGGCGGCUUUUUGGUCUGUAACUGACGCUGAGGCGCGAAAGCGUGGGGAGCAAACAGGGAUUAGAUACCCUGGUAGUCCACGCCGUAAACGAUGAGUGCUAAGUGUUAGAGGGUUUCCGCCCUUUAGUGCUGCAGCUAACGCAUUAAGCACUCCGCCUGGGGAGUACGGUCGCAAGACUG
rnacentral:rRNA from 1 species